CCUCUGCAGGCUGGCUGGCCCCCCCAGACUAGGUUGGGUGAGUAUCUCUUUGAAAGGCUCACCUUCAAGCAUGACUAGGAGC
rnacentral:pre_miRNA from 1 species